CAAGUGGAGGUCCUCACCGAUCACCCGACAUGAUCUUCACAAAGUUAAAACCUACAAUGAUGAGAGGUGAAAAUUCUACCGUUGCAAAUUUCUGGCAACAUUCUAAUUCAACUCAUCUCAUCUCCACAAAAACUAACCAAAGAAUGUGUGGGUUAUGAAUGGAUCAUUGAGUUGAGAUUUUGAGUUGUUUUAGUUUUGGACACUUAAUAUGUUCACUACUGCCCGAUGGAGACGUGUUUAUUUCAAUGUAUUUCAUUCUAAAUGCACUUGGUUACACUUGUGUUGAGAAGGUUGUUGAUUGUGCUCCAGGUGAGGAGUUUUGUCCCUGGAGGGAGUUCCAAUGAGGUUUAUGAUCAGGAACUUCCAUAACCGGUGGAGAUUGAACCCGUUUCAUUUUUCUUUGAAUUGCCAAUGGAUAUGUUGUCCUCAGAGGCUUCAUGGGUUUCAUAAAACGGACCAACUCACUUGUUUAUGUUCCAUUAUCUUGCCGUGAUGUGUCCAGCCUAAAGUGAGACUGCUUUGAAAGCUCCAAUUGGGACGGGUCAGUGCCUGGUCUUGCAUCUCCUGCCCUGGAAUGAGAACCUUAGGUCUAAUCACGGAUGGUCCGUUGGACAAUCAGAUUACUGUUGGCUCAAUGAGAGGUGACUUGGGCAUGGACAAGUACGUCAGGCCACCUGACGUUAGGUUGCUCCUUGACCCUUUGGUGCAGGGUUCAGACCUGGCAUCUCUCUUCAGUUGCCACCUACAUAUGAUGUCAAUUUGUUGUUUUUGAAAAUCUGAAAAUGUUCUGUUUAUUUAAGAUAUCUUGCCUUUGUAUCUGAAAUAUUUCUGGCAGUAAAUGUGAUGAAAGAAA